rnacentral:rRNA from 1 species
UUGAACGCUGGCGGAAUGCUUUACACAUGCAAGUCGAGCGGCAGCGCGGGGGCAACCCUGGCGGCGAGCGGCGAACGGGUGAGUAAUGUAUCGGAACGUACCCUGUCGUGGGGGAUAACACAGCGAAAGCUGUGCUAAUACCGCAUACGACCUGAGGGUGAAAGCGGGGGAUCGCAAGACCUCGCGCGAUAGGAGCGGCCGAUAUCGGAUUAGCUAGUUGGUGAGGUAAAGGCUCACCAAGGCGACGAUCCGUAGCGGGUCUGAGAGGACGACCCGCCACACUGGAACUGAGACACGGUCCAGACUCCUACGGGAGGCAGCAGUGGGGAAUUUUGGACAAUGGGGGCAACCCUGAUCCAGCCAUUCCGCGUGAGUGAAGAAGGCCUUCGGGUUGUAAACCGCUUUUGUCAGGGAAGAAACGCCUUGAGAUAAUACCUCGGGGUAAUGACGGUACCUGAAGAAUAAGCACCGGCUAACUACGU